GAUGAGCUCAACCGUUUCUCUCCGUGGGGCUGAAAAUUCCUAUGACUCUAGUGACGUAGUUGAUUCUUUUGGCAAUCAGGCAUUUUCCUGCUGUGAGGGGGUUUUCAGCCACUGGUCAUCUCAUUAACUCACACUUCAGCAGCCUAGCCCAUCCCAGUGCUCAAUGCUUCCAUACCUAAGAUGGAAAUCACCUCGCCUACCUUUGAUGUCUGCACUAACUUCUGGAGAGGGCAUCUCAGGAGCUUAGUUGGGAAGCAAGUUGCCUUUGGCCCGCAGAGUCCAUGCUUUUCCAACCUUGUUCUGUAGCCAGCUGGUACCAUCCAUUCUUCAUUGUGAAUGAAUCCAAGAAAUUCAACAGGCAUGGAGUCUCCAGAUUGGUCAAAUAAGACAGUCAAUCAUGAUGAAAUAAAUUCCUACUGAAAUCUGUUUCCGUUAAGUUGGAGGAUAUGGAAUGUGAAGACACAGACUCCACGCCACAAGAGUUUUGGAAAUUAAAUAAUACAAGACAGGGCCACAUUCCCGGUAUUUCAUUCAAAAGGCAGAAGAAGAUACCACUUAACAAGGCAGAUGACAUCCAUCUUGCCCUUCUAACUCUUCUCUCUGCUUCAACACA